rnacentral:miRNA from 1 species
UGAGAGAGAGAGAGAGAGAGCACACGCGCACACCAGCAAGAGAAAUGAGUACCCUCCAUGGAGUCUGGUCACGUCACAAUCUCUUUCCGACAGUCC